AGUGCAAAAAGAAUUCCUGGCUCCUGGU
rnacentral:piRNA from 1 species